AACCGUCGUAAGCCUAGCUGCCAAGCGGUCUUCCCCUCGCAUCCUCAUGAAUGCAUUUCUUUUCUUCCAAGAAGGAGAUAAUGCGGUUCAGCAACAACCUGAUCGGGUUGCUCAAUGCCAUUGUCUUCCUGCUCUCUCAAUCUCUAUCUUUGGAGCUGGAAUUUGGCUUAAAACCGGCUCAAGCACCGAUUUUGAGAAGCUCUUGGAUCUGCCUGUAAUAGUUAUUGGCGUCUACCUCAUGAUUGUGUCCCUCGCCGGCCUUUUCAGCGGUCGGUGCCUGGUCUCUCGCCUCAUCUAUGAGGGCAUCGGCGAGGUCGUUUCUCGCCGCGAGUACAAGUAGUGUCUACACGGAUAAUUCUCUAAGUAGCUUCAGAAAUAGGUCAGCGACGAUAUUAAUUGGGCCAGGAUCCGCAGAUAACCACAAGAACCAUACACUCAGGGGCUGUUUGGUAUGCGGAUUUAGCCGGAUUUAAGGCCAGAUUUGGGCGAAAUCCAGCCAAACGGCCUAAAAUGCAAAUCCAAAUCUCACCGAAAAUGGAAUCCACGGUUGACGGAAAAAGAGCACUUCUUGCGGUAAAUCCCGGAUUUCGCAAAUCCACGGAGAAGAAGCGGAUUUAACUGAUUAUUCGUGGGAGAGGAAGAAGGCAGAACAAAGCCCAAACGAUUCCAACUGUUUUUUUUAUCUCUUGACUCACUCUUCUUCAGAACAGCUCACACACCAUGAUCGCCCAUACUCCCUCGUCUCUACCUCUCGCUAUUAUAAGCCAACUGUUCGGUUGCUUGCAUUCGCACAUCCAGCACAAGCAGUCCCUAGAGGAAACCAUAGGCGUGAAUCAGCAGUAGGUGUUGGAGAAAGAAUACUAGGUGAUGGUUUAAGACAUUUAAUUGCAACAAAUAUGUGGGAUGCUCGGGUAAGUCUCUGGCAUUAAACUUAUAUUCUUUAGAAUAUUCAAAAUUUAAACUUCUAACAAACAACUCCAUUUACAGGUAGCAAGCCAGCGAAGUCGUUCAGCUGAAUAACCUGCAAUUUUGAAAACAUUGAAGAUGGAAUCAACUUUAUUUUAUUUGCAAUUUACUUUAUGUUAUUGUUGUAUUUCAAAUGAAACUUUGUUGUAUUUUAUUUGAACUUUGCUUGUUCUACUUUAAUUAUUGAAGAAAUGAAUGUUAUAAACGCCUUAAAUCCUAAAUUGAACAGCCAAACAGUCACACAGGGUUUAACUGGAGUCAUGAAUGUUAACAAAUAGUUUUCAGGAUUUAACCCCCCAGGAUUUCGUAAAUCCGAAUUUGGAGGAUUUACGAAAUCCCACUUAAAUGAAAUUCUAGAUUCUACCAAACAGCCCCUCAGUGAGUUCUUCAACAAAAACCCUCUCACCUCUUCAGGCAUAAUGCGAUUCCUGUUUUCUUUCUCUUCCCAUUACCAAAGAAAGCUACCAUUUAUUUUCUUUUUGGUUCUAAGAUAAUAUUUGCUUUCUUUUUUACUCUCCUCUUCUUGAUUUUCAUUUAUUUUGCGAGCUUUGAAGGGAAUUGUGGUUUAGGAAUUUGUUUUUUGGUUGAGAAUAUUAAUAUCUAAAAUUUUCCGCCAUGACAACUAUCAAAUCUUAUUAAAUUCUAAUAAUUUAUUUGACUUUUUUUUAGUUUAAUAUAAGAUUUAAAGGAAUUUGGAAUUUAAAGGGGCUAUUUGGUAACACCUAGGAUUUCAUUGAAGUAAGAUUUCAUAAAUCCUCUAAAUUCAGAUUUACGAAAUCCUGUGUGUGUGGGGGGGGGGGGGGGGGGUAGGGGGUUUUAAAUCCUAAAAAUUGUUUGAUAACAUUCAUGAUAAAUCCAGUUAAAUCAUGUGUGACUAUUUGGCUAUUCAAUUCAAGAUUAAGGUGGUUAAGAGAUUUGACAUGUAUUUCUUCGAUAAUUAAAUUACAAUAAUCGAAGUUUAAAUAAAAUAAAAAAAAGUUUUGUUUGAAAUACAACAAUAACAUAGACUGAAUUCCAAAUAAAUUAAAGUUGAUUACAUCUUCAAUGUGUUCAAAAUUGCAGGUUAUCCAGUUGAACGACUUCGUUGUUUUGCUACAUGUGGAGUUGCUCAUUAAAAGUUGAAAAUUUUGAAAAAUAUAAGAUUCUAAGCUUACUACCCGAGAGCUUUACUCAGGCCUCCCACAUAUUUGUUGCAAUUAAAUGUCUUAAAAAAUCACCCAGUACUCUUUCUCCAGCAUCUACAUUCAAAUUUGGGUCUGAAUAACUAAUGGAAAUUGAUAUAUAUAAGUCACAAUUUGGAACCUUUCUUUUCAUAUGCCGAAAAUCCUCUCAACUACAUUUUGUAGUUGGGCAUGACAAUGGUUAUAUAGCUCUUGUGCAAUCGAUUGUCUUCGAAAAGCAUCAAUACAGUAUUCACUCAAGUGAUAAUGAUACCCUCUAUAUGGUGCAAUUAGUUUAUCUGUGUUUGCAUAUCCAGAAUCAACCAGAAAAUAUUUACUAGCAAGAACUUUAAAAUCACGUUCCUCCACUGCCCAUCGUAAGACUCUCAUAUCAGCUGCAGAUCUUUCCCAACCGGAUCCCACAUUGAUAAAUUGUCUGUCAAAUGAUACAACAGCAAUGAAGUUUUGAGAAGUGAACCCCUUCCUGUUAUGAUACCGAUUAUGUAAGUUUCUGUUAACUACUAGAACAGUCCCAUCUAUAACUCUACUGCAUUCUCAUAAAUGGAGGAUAGGAACGUACAAAAGGGUGACAUUUUUCUUUUGCACUUGGCAUUGUAAUAAUAUCAUUAUAUAAUAAUAUUAUGGCAUAUAAGAUCAUAUUAAAAUACAUAUUAACAGUUUCAAGAGAAUAUUGAAAGAAUUCACACAACUGUUUGUAAAUAUGUACAUGUUCUAUACCCCAUAGAAAAAUAGUUAAGUAAUCCUGCACUAAAAUAUUUUUCGUAUCAUGAAGUAGAGAACGACUUUCUAACAACUCCCUUAAUUGAUGAAAUACAUAUGAUGAAAUUUUAAAAAAGUUAUAAGUACGUAAUGGAUGCCCAAAAGGCAGAUCAAUUACAUAUUGUUCACCGGUAUAACCUCUGUUGAACAUCGGUCUUAGUAUGUUCAUCUUGUUGUCUGACGAGGUACUGCUACUUAAAAGAUUUGACGUAAUAUUUCUAAUAUCAUUACUCAAGCGCACAUGCUCAUCUAUCAGUUCACAUAGCUCCUUCAGAAAAACUCAAUGCAGGAAAUGAGCCAUUUUGUGCUACAAUUUAUAAUUUAUUAAGUUCAGUAAACUUAAACUUACUAAUUAAGCUGAAAUAAAUCUUAACUUAAAAAUCAAACAGCAAUAUUUCUCUACUAAAUUUUGAUCAAUCACAUUCUCAUGCAAAUAAAUUCAAGCAAAAUAAAUGGCUACAUGCUCAUUUAAUGAGAAAUACAUUAUAAGAAAAUUAAUGACUCAAGCUAACUAACAGACACUUGAAUGCUUAAACAGAAAAGUAACCUCUUGAACUGACACCCUAUGACACAUAAAUUUGGCAGCUAAGCUGAGCAUUCAGAAAAUUUAGGGUGGCAAUGAAGAAUAUAUUCAAUCAAUCCACGCAAUCGUGUUCCAUCCAAAGUAAUAAGAGCGAUCUUAUAGUCGUUACUAUCUAUCAAUGCUUCAUGAAUAUCUAUUAUAGCUUUCAUCGAAAUGUUCUCUAUGCUACCAAGUUUUGCAAGACAUUCUAUUAUUGUGUAUGGACAAAUUUUAUCAAUCUUCUCAAUUAUUUUAUCGGUUUUACCAUAAUGCUUGUCUAGUAUGCUACUUAACUUUUCUUUCAGCUCUUCUCUUAAGGUGCUUAUUUUUGCAAACAUCAUCGUCACUUGACCGCUUGUUAUGUCUCAUCGGAAUAAAUGAGAGUUCUUUCGUGAUUUCUCACUUAAGAACUUACUUGGUUUGUAAAUCAGAGGCUAAAUCAGUCUAUACGAAACUAAUUUCAUUACCGGACAAGAACACAUCCUCCUCUACAUCUUCUCCUAUUACCCCAUCUUGUAUUAUAUUAUUUAUUUUUUGUGAUGACCUUGCUAAUGUUACCACAACAAUAUUAUCGCUACAUAUUUUCUAAAAAAAUAUUAUAUUGGUGGAAUAAAUUACGAAAAAAUUUUGCCAGCUUUGGGUUAUCCUAGUCAAAAAAUAGAAAAAAUUAAAAGGCUCUCUUAAGAAAUAUAUUUAAGGCUUAUAAAUGAAUCAUCAAAUUUUAUUGAAUAAUAUAUACCUGGAUUAUCUCAUCCCAUAUCUCGUCAGUGGCUAUGGGCAAAUAAAGAGUUUCAUCCUAAUCUCAUCCACUUCGAUGAGAUUGUUGGAAAACAAUAUGAAAAUUGGUUUUUAUUUUUUUGAACUUAAUUUGUGCAGUGCUUUCUGCGUAGUUUCUAUUAAGUUGGUGAUUUAAUGUACAAACCAAAUCCUUCUACAUGUCUCUCCUCAAUAUGCCAUCAUUAAUAUUACUACACAAAUAUUAUUCCAACAAUAACUCUCUGAAGACUUCAUUAUGCUGAUCUGGCCACUUAGGUGUCCUCAAAAUACUUUUAUUAGUAUUUUCUAACUUCACAUCUAAAUCAUCCAGAUUCCACUUAAAUACUGGCCGAUAACUAUUGCGCCGCUUCGCCUUUCAAAAAACGUUUUAUUAUUGUUGUACAAAUUUCAAAGAAUAUAUUUUAAUAGUAUUUAUGGAGGUCAUUUAACAUUGAUAAUUACAAUUUCUAAUGUGCAUAAUUACCAUUUUGGAAGUGAAUUUUACCGCAUUUGUUCCGAGUAGAAACUAUGUAAUUCAUGUUUGAGGAUUUGUUGUCUUUCGUUGUCAAUUGAAUCGAUUUUUCUAGUAUAAAACUAAUAUGAUCAGGGAAUUAGGAUGAUUGUUUACAGUUUGUUUUUGGGUAAGUUCCACUACUAGCCAUAUUUUCUUUAAGUGUUAUGUUAAUAACACAAUGUCGAACUACUACACCACUCUAGCAAAGGAAAUAUCACACCAUAGAAAUAUAAUAGUCUUUUGGUGAAGAGGAGCAACUGCAGCAGGUGAGAUUCAUGAAUUGGAGUCAAAACUAGACAAUAUGCGAAUCUGAGGAAAUACUAGACGAAAAAAUAUAUAAACCGUAGAUAACCUAGCAUAAAUAUCAGGAAUGUGAGAGUUACAUAUGCACUGUCGAUAUUCUUCAUGCCACUGAUUUCCUCUUGAGACUAUACGAUUGCAAGAAGCCGAACAAUAUGCCUUAUAAUAGCGAGAGGUGGAGAUGAGGGAGUAUGGGCGACCAUGACAUAUGACCUAUUUUGAAGAGGAGCAGGUGACGAGAUAAGGAAAACAACUGGAAAUGAUCGGAUUUCCUCCUCUUGAGCCAAUAGAGUGUUAAAUCCGCCGAAUCAGAGGAUUUGGAAAUUUUGGGAUUUACCACGAAAGGGGUAUUUUUCUAUCUACCACGACUUUCAUUCACCGUGAGAUUUGGUUUUGCAUUUUAGGCCAUUUGGUUCGAUUUCCCCCAAAUCUAGCCUAAAUCCAGCUACCAAACAACUCCAAAACAUCUUAUGCAUGAGAUUGCAAAUCCCUUAAAUAUGUUGAAUUCUGCUCCCCGUGAUUAAACAAAUCCCAUCAAAUCUCAAAACAUGGUCAAACAGAGGAUUCAGGCGCCAUUAUUUUCUCAGUUUUUUGCUUUUCACUAUUAGCUUCUUUGAUGCAAACUCUUACUAGUGUUAUGUCCUUGCUAGAGAUAUAUUUUUUAAUUUAUUUGAACUUUUAUGUGACCACUUCCCUUCUCUUCUUUGAUGUAUUGUUAUUAGGAGACAUUGAAUAGGCUUUUGAUUCAUAUUUAAAGUUUGUCAAUUUUUGGCACUUUAUCAAAAGGGUCUUUCUGAAUCUAAGAGAGUAUUCUAGGAGUUUUUAUAUGGACAAGUGAUGGAUGUUCUUCCCUUUCUUAAAUCUUUUUGUUUCUUUAUUGUCGCCUGGUCAAUUUUUGAAUUUCUGAUCUGGUUUUCAUUACCUUGUUAUUGUCCUGAUGUUCUUCCAUUCAAAAAAUCGAUUUCAAUGUCAUAGUUAGGUUGAUACGGUCUCCAGCAAUGGUAAAACCUGUAUAAUACAAAUUUGUGGCUUCACCAUCGUCUUCUAUGAUGGUGAAUUUUAUAUUAUCCCACUUCAGGAGUCUUGGUUUUCACAUCUUGCUCUUGAAUGUUUCCCUUUAGGGAUUUGAAAAUGUUUCAUGAGCCCAACCAAAUAAUUACAUCCAUUAGGUGUCUGCCAGUACUUGCCUCCAUGAUUUGUAAGGAACGAGGUAUUUUUGAGUUUUAACCAAAAGGGAGCCAAUGGUCUUGGGGACCAUUACAAACUAUAUAUCCCAAUGCUUUAGUUAGCACUUAAGAAUCUUAAGAUAAAUGUGUAAUUAAGGCUUAGUUUGGGGUGGCUUUCGUAAUACUUUCUAAAACAAUUUUUUAGUCUAAAAAGCUGCUUUAGAAAAUAGUAAAAAAGUUGUUCCAAACGAAGCCUAAAUUUAUAGAAAAGUAAAAAGUGAAAAAUGACAUGUUAGAAGUAGCACUUAUAACAAAGUAAGGUAGUAAAUAAAAUUAAAUUUAGGUAGUUUGUGCUUGAUAAUGGAGGGUAAAAGAUGCAUCAAAAGGAUAGGUAGAAAAUUAAUGUGAAAAAAGUAAUAGAAAGGUUAGAUAAAAAAAACAAUAUAAACUUAGACUAGCAGCUCAUGCUAGGCUAAACAAAAUGUCUGAACAAGGAAUAUUCACAAAGUUGAUCAAAUAAUAGUUAGGAAUAAUGAAAGCUUGAGCUACUUUUAUAUGUUUAAAUUCCUUCAAGUUACUCACUUUUCCAUCUUAUCAAAAUUCAAUUUUCAUCAUUAAUUUCAUAAAAAUAUGUUCAAUAAUUGGCUUGUUUUUCUUAACCAUUUUCGUGGUUGUGUACAAUUUACAUUCAAAUUGAAUUAUUUCUGCGUAACUUCCAAAUGCUGCGUAUUUAUGCAAUGAAAUAGCUUUUUGUUUCAUCUUUAAAAAGUGGCGUAUCUAUUCAUGAAGUUUUUCCUACAGUUAGGGUGGAGUGAUUGGUGUAUGUAGCCUUGUUCUUGUAUUUGCAAGGAAACAUAUCCAAGACUUGAGAGGUAACUGCAUGGGCGGAUGUAGUGUGGGGGCACUGCGGGCACGUGCCCCCACUAGCCCACCGAGUUAGUUAAGUUUUGGUGAUACUGCAUCUAAUUGAUUUCAUUUAUUUAUGCAUUAAUUAGAGAAUAAAUCAAAUAGAAUUUUUUACUUUUUUUUUUCAUCCUAAUAUGCGAUCUCUAUCCGGCUAUCCCGCUCCCAAAGUUAUGCGAUUCUCUAAGCACGCGGAAGCGGAACCGAAGUGACAAAGUCCAAACGCCCUCGUCACGCAAGCUGCCUCACUCUAGUGGCUCUCUUCUUGCUCGAACCGUCGAACGCCGAAUGCCGAACGUCGGACAGUCGCCGGUCACGCCCAAUUGCCAUCGUGGUGCGGGACUGUCGCGGGUUGGCUUGGCCAGUUGUUCUCUUCCAAUUUUCGAGCCAAAAAGCUGCCUAGCCCAGUCGCCGUUGGCCCGUCGCCCUCCCCUUCCAACGCCGUGGCCUCAUGGCCAGAUAAUCUCUGAUUCUUUGCUAAAAUUGACCUCUUUUGGAUUCUUACAACUCUGGAUGCUGAAGGCCUCCCACUGCGUGCAACUUCGCCUUUACAAGUGAAACAAUGUGGACCAAACCUUAUGGUUUCUCUAAGGUUUAGUUUGGGACGGCUUUUUUACUGCUUCCAAAAGCAAUUUUUUAGUACAAAAAUUUAAAUUUUUUACUAAAAAGCUGUUUUAAAAGUAACAAAAAAAAUCGUCCCAAAUGAAGCCCAACUCCUCAAUCAUAAGAGAUUGCAAAGCCUGGCAGAAUGAUCCAUCCGUUUUGUGCUCUGAUUGCUAGUAUUGCAUGGCUGGUGUCCUUGCUAACCUCAAAAUCAACUGGAAGAAGGUGGCAAUGAUAAACAUAAUCUCCUUCAUUUUCCUUAUGAUUGUCUACUCUUUUUGGUAGGCCUACUUGCCCAAGCAAGAAGUUACCCGUGCCAAUCGGCGACUUCGCCGAGCAAUUCGCCAUUUUUGACGACCACUUGACGACUUCAACCAUCAAGAUGGCGACUCCAAUUAGUGAUUGUCAACGAGUAUUUUUAUACUUUCUUGGUUUCAUAUUUUUUUGGGCUUCAUGCCUCAUUUAGCUAGAUAUAUUUUCUUAUUCCUUGUAUAGAUUUUUCCCAUAACAACAAAUCCCUUGCCUAGAACUUGUAAUAACAUCUUAAAGCUUUUCACUUUUGACUCUCUUUUUCUUUA